GAUGAACGCUAGCGGCAGGCCUAAUACAUGCAAGUCGAACGGUGUCUUCGGACAUAGUGGCGCACGGGUGCGUAACACGUAUGCAAUCUACCUUAUACAGGGGCAUAACUUCGAGAAAUCGGUGCUAAUUCCCCAUAACACAAUGACUGGGCAUCCAGAUGUAGUUAAAGUUUCGGCGGUAUAAGAUGAGCAUGCGUCCAAUUAGCUAGUAGGUGAGGUAAUGGCUCACCUAGGCUACGAUUGGUAGGGGUUCUGAGAGGAUGAUCCCCCACACUGGUACUGAGACACGGACCAGACUCCUACGGGAGGCAGCAGUGAGGAAUAUUGCGCAAUGGACGAAAGUCUGACGCAGCCAUGCCGCGUGAAGGAUUGAAGGUCCUAUGGAUUGUAAACUUCUUUUGUACGGGAAUAAACCCUACCUCGUGAGGUAGGCUGAAGGUACCGUAAGAAUAAGCACCGGCUAACUCCGUGCCAGCAGCCGCUGUAACAC
rnacentral:rRNA from 1 species